rnacentral:rRNA from 1 species
UUUAUGGAGAGUUUGAUCCUGGCUCAGGAUGAACGCUGGCGGCGUGCCUAAUACAUGCAAGUCGAGCGAACGGACGAGAAGCUUGCUUCUCUGAUGUUAGCGGCGGACGGGUGAGUAACACGUGGAUAACCUACCUAUAAGACUGGGAUAACUUCGGGAAACCGGAGCUAAUACCGGAUAAUAUUUUGAACCGCAUGGUUCAAAAGUGAAAGACGGUCUUGCUGUCACUUAUAGAUGGAUCCGCGCUGCAUUAGCUAGUUGGUAAGGUAACGGCUUACCAAGGCAACGAUGCAUAGCCGACCUGAGAGGGUGAUCGGCCACACUGGAACUGAGACACGGUCCAGACUCCUACGGGAGGCAGCAGUAGGGAAUCUUCCGCAAUGGGCGAAAGCCUGACGGAGCAACGCCGCGUGAGUGAUGAAGGUCUUCGGAUCGUAAAACUCUGUUAUUAGGGAAGAACAUAUGUGUAAGUAACUGUGCACAUCUUGACGGUACCUAAUCAGAAAGCCACGGCUAACUACGUGCCAGCAGCCGCGGUAAUACGUAGGUGGCAAGCGUUAUCCGGAAUUAUUGGGCGUAAAGCGCGCGUAGGCGGUUUUUUAAGUCUGAUGUGAAAGCCCACGGCUCAACCGUGGAGGGUCAUUGGAAACUGGAAAACUUGAGUGCAGAAGAGGAAAGUGGAAUUCCAUGUGUAGCGGUGAAAUGCGCAGAGAUAUGGAGGAACACCAGUGGCGAAGGCGACUUUCUGGUCUGUAACUGACGCUGAUGUGCGAAAGCGUGGGAUCAAACAGGAUUAGAUACCCUGGUAGUCCACGCCGUAAACGAUGAGUGCUAAGUGUUAGGGGGUUUCCGCCCCUUAGUGCUGCAGCUAACGCAUUAAGCACUCCGCCUGGGGAGUACGACCGCAAGGUUGAAACUCAAAGGAAUUGACGGGGACCCGCACAAGCGGUGGAGCAUGUGGUUUAAUUCGAAGCAACGCGAAGAACCUUACCAAAUCUUGACAUCCUUUGACAACUCUAGAGAUAGAGCUUUCCCCUUCGGGGACAAAGUGACAGGUGGUGCAUGGUUGUCGUCAGCUCGUGUCGUGAGAUGUUGGGUUAAGUCCCGCAACGAGCGCAACCCUUAAGCUUAGUUGCCAUCAUUAAGUUGGGCACUCUAAGUUGACUGCCGGUGACAAACCGGAGGAAGGUGGGGAUGACGUCAAAUCAUCAUGCCCCUUAUGAUUUGGGCUACACACGUGCUACAAUGGACAAUACAAAGGGCAGCGAAACCGUGAGGUCAAGCAAAUCCCAUAAAGUUGUUCUCAGUUCGGAUUGUAGUCUGCAACUCGACUACAUGAAGCUGGAAUCGCUAGUAAUCGUAGAUCAGCAUGCUACGGUGAAUACGUUCCCGGGUCUUGUACACACCGCCCGUCACACCACGAGAGUUUGUAACACCCGAAGCCGGUGGAGUAACCUUUUAGGAGCUAGCCGUCGAAGGUGGGACAAAUGAUUGGGGUGAAGUCGUAACAAGGUAGCCGUAUCGGAAGGUGCGGCUGGAUCACCUCCUUUCU